GAACGGAUACCGAGUUACAUCUAUUACAGGCACUUCAGCUGUUUUGAUUAAUUUAAAUUACUCUUAUGAGAAUCCAACUAUGUGUGGACAGCACACUACUAAGACAGGCAAUCUACGAAAGCAUUACUCACCAGAAUUCCUGCUUGACUUGGUCUUGGUCAACACUGCGCGAUAUACGUUGGGGCUGUGGCGAUUCAUUCAACUCGAUUUUUACCGGAACAACAGGCGCUGCUCGAAAGACAACGACGGAAAAUAGAGAGCUAUAAAUUCCGCUAAUUUGCACAUUACAGCACUACAAAGCGAUAUAUGAACACAUCGUAAACAGCAACCACUCGCUCACACACACAAGAAACGAGGUACCCAACGUUGCUAGACACCAUCCGAACUCCGAGGUGAGAGUAGCAAAACAACAAGAUAUCAAAACACGAAAGGAAGAGUAUUGAUCCCCCCUCCUUCUAUAGCAUGCAAAACGUGAUUUGCGCUGAGAUGAACAUAUAUGUUCAUGACGCGAGUAAUUUUCACUUUUCACUGAUCCAAAGGAGGUCACGUGGGAUUGCUCGACGCUUGCGAAAUCAACAAUGAAAAUGGCGAAACGAAACUUGUGAAUCGUGCAUUUGCUCUUCAUGGUAGCUGCCAAAAAAUCGAAUCAAACUUAUGGGACACUGGAUUACAGGUUGCUGCCACUACUCCAUGUGCCCGCAAUUGUCUUGCGUGUAUGAUUACACUAACGGCGUCGCCCACCACGGCGGAAGUGUUUUGCGUACACGCGUUUCAGCAUGAAGCCUGCAGGUGGACGUAAAUUGUAGAAGGCAGCUAGUGGGGGAGAAGAUCAUGGUCAUAGGUCAUGUGACUCCUGGAGCUCCCAGUGGGCUCCCUUGUGGAGUACUUUUCAGAACACACACACAUACAGUUUGCUCACAGAACCAACGAGUAGGAUGUUGCUUGAAUACUGAGAGAAAAUGGCGUAACACAUACAAUUAUCGUGUGACACAUAUGACAAUAAAAACAUUUUUCACGAGGGAUGCAUGAAACACUGUCGCAAUAUUGUGUGCAUGAACCAUUGUGUGUGACACAAGCCGUGGGGGCACACCGCCUCGGACACAUUUUGGGAAGCAUAAAACACAGUAUAUACACAGCUAAUAUGGUGGAUGCUUCUUUUUUCUUUUUGGCCGUUAUGAGACAUCUUCGGCCGUAAUGAGACUACCUUCGGCCGUAUUGAGACUUUGGCCGUAACGAGACACUUGGGGAUUAAAGGA